CACACCCACACGCAGAAAGCGAGUGGAGUUUGUGAAGACCUGAGAACAGCAUUUCUCAGCUCACUGCGUUUAAGACGUUUCAGUUGUUUCUAGGCUGGUUGUGUUCACGCCGUUAAAAACAAGGCUCAAACGGUGCAGCCACUUGGACUCUGAAACCAGGUUUUGUUUUCCCCUUGGAGGAGAAUGGGAGGUGCUUGGCCUUAGUUUUCUUCCUUUCCCCAAAGCACAGAUCUGUGAAACAGCUCUUGGUUUUCCGUUGGGAGGGGAAAUCAAGGUCUUGUCUGCUCUUUAAGGCUGCAGCAGGAGGGAUUUUCCGUACACCCAGGCCUAAGACUCUGAAUUAGCUCUGGGACCUGAUUGUAAUUGACACCAAAACCUGACAGAAAUUCGAGCGCUAUGCAGCUAGAGCGAAAGCACAGCUUAGCGUGCGCCUGUUGGUACUUGCGCCUGUUCCCUGGUAGGAAGAGGAGAACCGUGUCUGCAGGAGAGGUGGGACUGGGUUAGUAUCUGUAACUGACACAGCUAGAGCGAAAGCACAGCUUAGCGUGCGCCUGUUGGUACUUGCGCCUGUUCCCUGGUAGGAAGAGGAGAACCGUGUCUGCAGGAGGGGUGGGACUGGGCUUGUAUCUGUAACUGACACAGCUAGAGUGGUAUACAAUCAGGUGUGGAGGAUGCUUUUGGCUUUGACCCUGCUAAUUUCUGAGUGCUCUGGCCCUGAUCCAGCAAAGCACAGGUUGAAGUGUGUGAGUAAUCAGGGACAGGGACAGUUAAUUGGGAAGACAAACCCUUAGUGACACUGGGAAUCUAGCUUUGACUCAGGAAGGUUUUAAACAGCAGCAGGCAAGGGUGUCACAGAUCAGGCCCGACAGCAGAAAUGACUGCACUUAGAGUGGGAAAACGCCUGUGUCUGUAUGGCCCAGUCCCUUGUGUCUGUUUCCUAGGGCAAAUGACAGUCCUUGGAAGACUGCAGUCCCGCCAGACGUAUCCUCCCUGUCAUGAAGUGUCUGAGCAGCACGCUAGGCGUAGACGCUGUCUCUGAUAACAAACCAAACCGCGCCCCCACCCCCCAAAAGAGUCAGUGGCAGCGCUUGGUCUGUAUUUAAUGGUUCCUAUCUUCGUUUGCUGUAACGUAACGAGGAGCUCGCCAGGUCCCACGGGGCAUUUUUAGUUUCUGUCCAGCAUGAAGGAUUUGAAGGUGAUAAACAAAUGUGAAUUUUUUUUUUAAAAGAGACUUUUUUAAUUUUCCUGCUGUGACUCUUUCAGGUGGAAGUCCACCAGGGUCGUCCUCCACUGUAACGAAUGUAUCGUUUUAAUACAGGCUGGUUUGGGAGACAGUCUGCUGAACCUGGCACUUUUUACGUUUGCUCUUGGGUUUAUCUACCUCAUUAUUUUUUUAGUGCUGUUUUAAUCCAGCCUCCAAUUUCCCGCUGUUGCUUUAUUUCCACCCUUUGUGUUAUGGAUUCAAAGUGACAGUUGAUCUUCCGUUUUCUGAGUUAAUUAUUUGUGUAUUCGCUCUCUUGAGUGGCUGAUCCUCCCCUUGAAUUCAGCUGGAUGAACGAAACUAUGAUUUAGACCAGUGGUCUCCAACCUUUUCGUCCAGCAAGCGCCAGAUGAAGGACCAUGGUGGUGGUGGAGCACCUGCUGAAAUCUCGCCGAAGUUCUGCGGCAUUUCUGCGGCAUUUCAGCAGAUGCUUGACCAUUGGCCAGGACGUGGGCACUUUUAGAUGCCCCCGCGGGUGCCAUGGCACCUGCGGGCACCGCAUUGGGGACCCCUGAUUUAGACAGUGCACAGUUGACUUGGGAUCUUUGGUGAAGCAUGUGAAAGCUGGAGCACCGAUCUGCCUUUCAGUAGCAACAAUUUUGAAAGCUUGUUUUGUCGACAGAAGCAUCCCUCAUGAAUUAUUUGUGUCCCCAAUUAAGCCAUCACAAUAAGCCAAGCCGCUGGCAUUGUUCUGCGGGGCGUGAUUCUUAACAUCCCUUUAAGGUGUUUUAUUUAAAAGUCGUUAAAAUGAUGCAUUCUGGGCUGUUUUGUUUCUGAAACCCAGCAGUCUGUGUCUGUCCUUCAUUUUACACGGUCUUACUCUGUAAAGGUGAAAUGUUUGGUGAAAACUGUUAACCUGAAAUACAUUUGGAUUUUCGUUUUUUAA